AGAGAGAUAGAGAAAGAGAGGUAGAUAUGAAUCAGAUAGGGAGUACAGUAUAGGACACUGAGGUUGACGAGAGAGAGAGGGAGAUAAGAAACAUGGAGGGUGAUAGAUAUAUGAGCCUGAGGUGGAAGACAGGGAGAGAUAGAGAGAGAAAGGAGGAGGAUCCUAAACUGUAUUUUAUGUGUGCGGAUGGAGAGAGAGCGAUAGCGAGAGACCGAUGAGAGAAGGAGGAAUGCAAAUGAAAAAACACACCUCACAUGUUUAGCUUUACAUAGAAGAAAGGGAGAGAGAGAGAGAGAGAGAGAGAGAGAGAGAGAGAGAGAGAGAGAGAGAGAGAGAGAGAGAGAGAGAGAGAGAGAGAGAGAGAGAGAGAGAGAGAAGAAGGAACAGCAUCAGAGGGAAGCGGAGGAAUGUACCGGGGGGCUGCGGACCAUCCGUCAGGAGCCUGCAGCGAGACCCGCCGGGACCACUGAGACCUCCCCCGGGACGGUCCCCAGACCUGGAGCCAGGACUCUCUGCCUCCGCGCUGUGGGGCUCCACAGGGUCCUGACGCACGCACCGGGCCAGCGAGUCCAUCUGCAAGUCGGAGAGAGAGAGGGAGAGACAGAGGGAGAGGGAGAGGGGGUGAGAGAGAGAGAGUGUGCAGAGACAGAGCAAAAUGGAAAAGGGGGGAGAGGGACAGAAGGAGCAAGAGAGAGAUGGAAAGUGAAGGCAAAAUGAAGAGAGACUGAACCUAAAGAAAGUGAUAAGAGAGAGAGAGGGAGAGAGGGAGAGAGGGGCGUUACGCAAGCAGAGACACCGUGCCGAGAGCCCCUCUUUGAUCCUCACAUCGGACAGAUGCCACGCCGGCUCCGCCAGAACCACCGGACUCUCUCUCCCUGCGUCUCCGCCGGAGAUCUGCUCCUCUGUGGCUCACCGCUCGUCUCUCUCUGCUGACGCCCCUCCCUCUGCCUCCCGGUGUAUGACGGCAGACCGGCACCACAGCCCGGGAGCGGCGUGUCUCUUCAGGGGGAAGGAUGAGUCCGGAUGAAGGGGUCGCCGCGCUUCUAGAAGGUUGAGAGACCCUCACCCCGGAGGGGGGGUCGUCCGACCGGGUGGGCACCGGUGGGCUGUGUCCGAGUCCCGCAGUGCUGCUGAGUUGCAGGUUUUGAGGCAGAUCAUCUCCCAGGACCUCCGACGAGCGGCGCGGUGAACCAGAAGCCCCGAAGCCUCCAUGAUGUCCCGGAGUCGAUCGAGCGGGGGCGGCUCCUCCAGCCUCCCCCAGUCCUCCAGCCUCCCCCUCCCCACCAGCUCCGUCUCCCCCAAGAUAGACGCCGUCCGGCAGCAGCAGCAGCAGCAGUACACCCCCCUGCCUGCCCACCUGGCCGCUCAGCUCCAGCGCGCCCGGAGC
ensembl:lncRNA